ACAGCAGUAGCCGCGGUAACACGGAGGGCGCAAGCGUUAAUCGGAAUUACUGGGCGUAAAGCGCACGCAGGCGGUUUGUUAAGUCAGAUGUGAAAUCCCCGAGCUUAACUUGGGAACUGCACUUGAAACUGGCAAGCUAGAGUCUUGUAGAGGGGGGUAGAAUUCCAGGUGUAGCGGUGAAAUGCGUAGAGAUCUGGAGGAAUACCGGUGGCGAAGGCGGCCCCCUGGACAAAGACUGACGCUCAGGUGCGAAAGCGUGGGGAGCAAACAGGAUUAGAUACCCCUGUAGUCCCUGUCUCUUAUAC
rnacentral:rRNA from 1 species